rnacentral:rRNA from 1 species
AUUGAACGCUGGCGGCAGGCCUAACACAUGCAAGUCGAGCGGAUGAAGGGAGCUUGCUCCUGGAUUCAGCGGCGGACGGGUGAGUAAUGCCUAGGAAUCUGCCUGGUAGUGGGGGAUAACGUCCGGAAACGGGCGCUAAUACCGCAUACGUCCUGAGGGAGAAAGUGGGGGAUCUUCGGACCUCACGCUAUCAGAUGAGCCUAGGUCGGAUUAGCUAGUUGGUGGGGUAAAGGCCUACCAAGGCGACGAUCCGUAACUGGUCUGAGAGGAUGAUCAGUCACACUGGAACUGAGACACGGUCCAGACUCCUACGGGAGGCAGCAGUGGGGAAUAUUGGACAAUGGGCGAAAGCCUGAUCCAGCCAUGCCGCGUGUGAAGAAGGUCUUCGGAUUGUAAAGCACUUUAAGUUGGGAGGAUGGGCAGUAAGUUAAUACCUUGCUGUUUUGACGUUACCAACAGAAUAAGCACCGGCUAACUUCGUG